rnacentral:rRNA from 1 species
GAUGAACGCUGGCGGCGUGCCUAAUACAUGCAAGUCGAGCGGUAAGGCCUCUUCGGAGGUACACGAGCGGCGGACGGCUGAGUAACACGUAGGAACGUACCCCAAAGUGAGGGAUAAGCAUUGGAAACAGUGUCUAAUACCGCAUGUGAUCUAAGGAUUAAAGCUCCGGCGCUUUGGGAACGGCCUGCGUAAGAUUAGCUUGUUGGUGAGGUAAUGGCUCACCAAGGCGACGAUCUUUAGCUGGUCUGAGAGGAUGAUCAGCCAGACUGGGACUGAGACACGGCCCAGACUCCUACGGGAGGCAGCAGUAGGGAAUUUUCCACAAUGGGCGAAAGCCUGAUGGAGCAACGCCGCGUGCAGGAUGAAUGCCUUCGGGUUGUAAACUGCUUUUAUCUGUGACGAAUAUGACGGUAGCAGAUGAAUAAGGAUCGGCUAACUCCGUGCCAGCAGCCGCGGUCAUACGGAGGAUCCAAGCGUUAUCCGGAAUUACUGGGCGUAAAGAGUUGCGUAGGUGGCAUAGUAAGUCAGUAGUGAAAGCGUUCGGCUCAACCGAAUACACAUUACUGAAACUGCUAAGCUUGAGGAUGAGAGAGGUUAUUGGAAUUCCCAGUGUAGGAGUGAAAUCCGCAGAUAUUGGGAGGAACACCGAUGGCGUAGGCAGAUAACUGGCUCAUUCCUGACACUAAGGCACGAAAGCGUGGGGAGCAAACGGGAUUAGAUACCCCGGUAGUCCACGCCGUAAACUAUGGAUGCUAGCUGUAAGAGGUAUCGACCCCUCUUGUAGCGAAGCUAACGCGUUAAGCAUCCCGCCUGUGGAGUACGGUCGCAAGACUAAAACAUAAAGGAAUUGACGGGGACCCGCACAAGCGGUGGAGCGUGUUGUUUAAUUCGAUGGUAAGCGAAGAACCUUACCCAGGCUUGACAUCCUUGGAAUCUUCCCGAAAGGGAGGAGUGCAAUUUGAACCAAGUGACAGGUGUUGCAUGGCCGUCGUCAGCUCGUGUCGUGAGAUGUUUGGUUAAGUCCAUCAACGAGCGCAACCCUUGUGAGUAGUUGAAUUUUUCUACUCAGACUGCCCUGGCAACAGGGAGGAAGGGGGGGAUGAUGUCAGGUCAGUAUUACCCUUACGCCUGGGGCUACAAACACGCUACAAUGGCCGGUACAAAGGGCUGCCAAGUCGCGAGACGGAGCAAAUCCCGCCAAAGCCGGUCUCAGUUCGGAUUGCAGGCUGAAACUCGCCUGCAUGAAGCUGGAAUCGCUAGUAACGGUAGGUCAGCACACUACCGUGAAUACGUUCCCGGGUCU